rnacentral:rRNA from 1 species
AUUGAACGCUGGCGGCAGGCCUAACACAUGCAAGUCGAACGAGUGGCGGACGGGUGAGUAAUGUCUGGGAAACUGCCCGAUGGAGGGGGAUAACCACUGUAAACGGUAGCUAAUACCGCAUACCAUCGGAUGUGCCCAGAUGGGAUUAGCUUAUAGGUGAGGUAACGGCUCACCUAGGCGCCGCUCCCUAGCUGGUCUGCAAGGAGUACCAGCCACACGGGAACUGAGACACGGUCCAGACUCCUACGGUAGGCAGCAGUGGGGAAUAUUGCACAAUGGUCGCAAGCCUGAUGCAGCCAUGCCGGGUGUAUGAAGAAGGCCUUCGGGUUGUAAAGUACUUUCAGCGGGGAGGGUUUACCCGCAGAAGAAGCACCGGCUAACUCCGUGCCAGCAGCCGCGGUAAUAC